rnacentral:rRNA from 1 species
CGGCGGCCGUAACUAUAACGGUCCUAAGGUAGCGAAAUUCCUUGUCGGGUAAGUUCCGACCUGCACGAAUGGCGUAAUGAUGGCCAGGCUGUCUCCACCCGAGACUCAGUGAAAUUGAACUCGCUGUGAAGAUGCAGUGUACCCGCGGCAAGACGGAAAGACCCCGUGAACCUUUACUAUAGCUUGACACUGAACACUGGUCCUUGAUGUGUAGGAUAGGUGGGAGGCUUUGAAGCGUGGACGCCAGUCUGCGUGGAGCCAACCUUGAAAUACCACCCUUUAAUGGCUGGUGUUCUAACGUAGACCCGUUAUCCGGGUUGCGGACAGUGUCUGGUGGGUAGUUUGACUGGGGCGGUCUCCUCCCAAAGAGUAACGGAGGAGCACGAAGGUUAGCUAAUCCUGGUCGGACAUCAGGAGGUUAGUGCAAUGGCAUAAGCUAGCUUGACUGCGAGAGUGACGGCUCGAGCAGGUGCGAAAGCAGGUCAUAGUGAUCCGGUGGUUCUGAAUGGAAGGGCCAUCGCUCAACGGAUAAAAGGUACUCCGGGGAUAACAGGCUGAUACCGCCCAAGAGUUCAUAUCGACGGCGGUGUUUGGCACCUCGAUGUCGGCUCAUCACAUCCUGGGGCUGAAGUAGGUCCCAAGGGUAUGGCUGUUCGCCAUUUAAAGUGGUACGCGAGCUGGGUUUAGAACGUCGUGAGACAGUUCGGUCCCUAUCUGCCGUGGGCGCUGGAGAAUUGAGGGGGGCUGCUCCUAGUACGAGAGGACCGGAGUGGACGCAUCACUGGUGUUCGGGUUGUCAUGCCAAUGGCAUUGCCCGGUAGCUAAAUGCGGAAGAGAUAAGUGCUGAAAGCAUCUAAGCACGAAACUUGCCCCGAGAUGAGUUCUCCCUGACCCUUUAAGGGUCCUGAAGGAACGUUGAAGACUACGACGUUGAUAGGUCGGGUGUGUAAGCGCAGCGAUGCGUUGAGCUAACCGAUACUAAUGAACCGUGAGGCUUAACCUUACAACGCCAGAGGCGUUU